ensembl:snRNA U2 U2 spliceosomal RNA
AUCGCUUCUCGGCCUUUUGGCUAAGAUCAAGUGUAGUAUCUGUUCUUAUCAGUUCAUGGAGCAUGACGUCAUCCGGUGGGGGUAUCAUGCAGCGAAGGAAAGGUGGAGGGACCUUUUUGAGCUGUAAGACCCCCUAGACAGAGUUUUUUGACGCGGCUCCAUCCAGGGGUUCCGUGAACCCCUUUUUUGAAUUUUAAUAUUUUAUGGUAAUUUCU